ACUCAAAUGGUCAAGUGGAUAAGACGCUUUGAAAUUACAAGUGGUUGAGAUUUUGAAUUUGUAUUUCAAGGAGGCGGGGGUUCGAUUCCCCCUUUGAGUG